CCGCGGUAUAAGGUCGUCCCAUCCUGAAUGGCCGGUGCGCAGACUCAAUUGCGACUUUGAGGCUGUCAGCCGCCACCCGGCAACCUUCCAGUGAACAGGAUUCUGGGUUUCUCAAAGCUGUAAUUGGAGGGCCACUCCAGAGGUGUUAAAGCUCCCUCACUUCCAGCCUGCCUCGUGGGAAGGUCUUAGGCUAAGUCUGUAGGUGCCUGCAGUUAAGAAGCCAGCGGUCUGCAUAUGAUUGCUCAGAGGUGGUGGCUGGGUACCAACAGCAUUCACUACAGGCCUGCCUUGAAUACCACCUAACUCAGUGCUCCGCAUAUCACAGGGGCUGGAAACCUAACAAUUUCACUUCCUAGACAACUUGCUAAAAGUCACCUAAAGACAGUCUGGUUACUGCCAAAGAUAUGCUUUCAAAUAAGAUUUGGAUAAAGAAGGGAGGUAGAUGCCUUUUUUCAGCAGUGGAGUGAUGUCUAGACCAGUAGACAUAUGCAUCUAAGUGAACUCAUCACCAGCAACAAUUUCCUGAAACUUCCUGACCUCCAGAUUGCAGCUUCAUUAGUG
rnacentral:antisense_RNA from 1 species